GUGCAGCAGGCGAGAAACCUUCGCAAUGCAGGAAACUGCGACGAGGGAACUCCAAGUGCCUACGCUCAGCGUAGGCUGUUCUCAAGCCUAGAAAGCUUGAGGAGUAAGGGGCUGGGUAAGACGGGUGCCAUCUGUGGUAGCAGUCAAUAGAUUCGAUUUGUUACUGCAAGGCAUAAGCCGCCGCGGUAAUACCCGCAGCCCAAGUGGUGGCCGCUUUUA
rnacentral:rRNA from 1 species